UUUGGAAAAGCAGAUGGAAACGUGAGUCCAGAUCAGCCCAGGACCUAUGAAAGUUACUCAAUGUGUCUUAUAAAUGUGCUCAUCUUCUGGUCUGCUGAGAAUAUACACAUGCUGGGAGCUCCAGGUGGUGGGUGACCUGAUACAACACAGCAGAGCAGACAGAAGAGCCCUGGUGUGGAAGCAAGGGAGAUGGGUCAGCACCUGGACUCUGCUGCUGUCCAGCUGUGUGAUCUUGGGCUAGUCCCUCGGCUCAGUUUCCUUAUCUGAAAAGGAGGCUCAGUGUUGGAUAAUCACUAAGUUCCCUUUCACCUCUCAGGUUUUAUGGUCUAUUCUUAAGAAGCAAAUGGAUAAAUUUCCAGGCAAAGACUAAACGUCCUAAAUUGACUUUCUUUCAAGGAGCACCCCCCCCCCCAAACUUUAGGCCAAGGACAAGUCAAUCUUCCCACUGCUCCUGAGUUACUAGUUAAAAGGACUGUUUUAUCAGACAGUAACAAGCCAACUAAAGAUUCCCUGGGAACGUCUAUUUGUCCUGCACCAUAAACAUGACCUUCUUGAUGAUACGUCAGCCUGGAAACCAAUCCUUUCAAAGAGCCUGCCUUUUCACCCCGAUCUUUAUCUGGUCCUGGGUGCACUCUGAGUCCUGUACAAGGGUUACAGAGUAAAGGCUACUUUGCGACUGCCACCUGAGCAACCCUUGAAUCCAUCCAUGAUCAAUUAUUAGCAAACCCUCCUCGUCCUCAGCAAAAUGUUUCUCUUAGCACAUCUGACACCCACAGCAAAGCCCUCUCAGCUAGAGCAAAAGGGUGCAGUAACUGAAAACAACUGUCCUAAUAUUCGAAUAUCAGGAACAUCCUACACGCAAGGCUGUGCCAGGCGUACGCCCAUGGAAUUUACAAACAGCAGCUCUUCCCGCAAACCAGCCGGGCCGGUAUCACACCGCCUCCUGCCUCGUCCGGGCGGCAAUGAGACACGGAAAGGCUCUCUGCCAGGCCUGGGGGCGUCCAGAGGCGAAUCACGAGCCCUGCCCACAGCGAGCUUGCAGUCUAGGGGUCAAGACAGAAUUGUCCACAAUUAGCGGUAACACAGGCUAAUGCAGCCAGGUGGAAGCAGGGACUCCGGUGAGAAGGUCACAGUGGCCACGGAAAUGAUCAGAAUUACCUUUUAUUGAUGCCUGCUAUCAUCCUCACAACAAGAUGUGGCACCCAUGGGAUUUCGAAGAACCCUUCACAGAC